GACAGAGGGUGCAAACGUUGUUCGGAAUUACUGGGCGUAAAGCGCGUGUAGGCUGCUCCGCAAGUCGGGUGUGAAAGCCCUGGGCCCAACCCAGGAAGUGCACUCGAAACUGCGAAGCUUGAGUCCUGGAGAGGAAGGCGGAAUUCUCGGUGUAGAGGUGAAAUUCGUAGAUAUCGAGAGGAACACCGGUGGCGAAGGCGGCCUUCUGGACAGUGACUGACGCUGAGACGCGAAAGCGUGGGGAGCAAACAGG
rnacentral:rRNA from 1 species